GGACGCGUAGCUCAGCGGGAGAGCACCUCGUUCACACCGAGGGGGUCACAGGUUCAAUCCCUGUCGCGUCCA
rfam:Brevundimonas sp. KM4 contig_18, whole genome shotgun sequence.